rnacentral:tRNA from 2 species
GCGUUCAUAGCUCAGUUGGUUAGAGCACCACCUUGACAUGGUGGGGGUCGUUGGUUCGAGUCCAUUCAGACGCACCA